rnacentral:misc_RNA from 1 species
CUGAGUACUAUACUCUCUACCCUUUGUGAACUAUUAUACCUGUUGCUUCGGCGGGCACCCUAGCGGGCGCCGGUCUCAUCAGAAUCUCUGUUUUCGAACCCGACGAUACUUCUGAGUGUUCUUAGCGAACUGUCA